CCUACGGGAGGCUGCAGUCGAGAAUCAUUCACAAUGGGGGCAACCCUGAUGGUGCGACGCCGCGUUGAGGAAUGAAGGUCUUCGGAUUGUAAACCCCUGUCAUGUGGGAGCAAAUUAAACAGAUCGUACCACACGAGGAAGAGACGGUUAACUCUGUGCCAGCAACCGCGGUAAUACGGAGGUCUCAAGCGUUGUUCGGAAUCCCUGGGCGUAAAGGGUGCGUAGGCGGUUUGGUAAGUCGUGUGUGAAAGGCGCGGGCUCAACCCGCGAACGGCACAUGAUACUGCGAGACUAGAGUAAAGGAGGGGGAACCGGAAUGCUCGGUGUAGCAGUGAAAUGCGUAGAUAUCAAGAGGAACACUCGUGGCGAAGGCGGGUGCCUGGA
rnacentral:rRNA from 1 species